rnacentral:misc_RNA from 1 species
CAACCCUCAAGCUCUGCUUGGAAUUGGGCGACGUCCGCUGCUGGACGCGCCUCGAAGACCUCGGCGACGGCGUCCCAGCCUCGAGCGUAGUAGUAACACACAUCUCGCUUUGGAGCGCUGGGCGGCGGCCGCCGGACAAUCGACCUUCGGUCUGUAUUUUUUCCAA